rnacentral:rRNA from 1 species
GACGAACGCUGGCGGCGUGCCUAAUACAUGCCAGUAGAACGCACAGUUUAUACCGUAGCUUGCUACACCAUAAACUGUGAGUUGCGAACGGGUGAGUGACGCGUAGGUAACCUGCCUGGUAGCGGGGGAUAACUAUUGGAAACGCUAGCUAAUACCGCAUAAUAUUGAUUAUUGCAUGAUAAUUGAUUGAAAGAUGCUAUUGCAUCACUACCAGAUGGACCUUCGUUGGAUUAGCUAGUAGGUGAGGUAACGGCUCACCUAGGGGAAGAUACAUAGCCGACCUGAGAAGGUGAUCGGCCACACUGGGACUGAGACACGGCCCAGACUCCUAAGGGAGGCAGCAGGAGGGAAUCUUCGGCAAUGGACGAAAGUCUGACCGAGCAACGCCGCGUGAGGGAAGAAGGUUGUCGGAUCGUAAAGCUCUGUUGUAAGAGAAGAACGGGUGUGAGAGUGGAAAGUUCACACUGUGACGGUAUCUUACCAGAAAGGGACGGCUAACUACGUG